rnacentral:rRNA from 1 species
AACGAACGCUGGCGGCAGGCUUAACACAUGCAAGUCGAGCGCCCCGCAAGGGGAGCGGCAGACGGGUGAGUAACGCGUGGGAACGUACCUUUUGGUUCGGAACAACUCCGGGAAACUGGAGCUAAUACCGGAUAAGCCCUAACGGGGAAAGAUUUAUCGCCGAAAGAUCGGCCCGCGUCUGAUUAGCUAGUUGGUGAGGUAACGGCUCACCAAGGCGACGAUCAGUAGCUGGUCUGAGAGGAUGAUCAGCCACACUGGGACUGAGACACGGCCCAGACUCCUACGGGAGGCAGCAGUGGGGAAUAUUGGACAAUGGGCGCAAGCCUGAUCCAGCCAUGACGCGUGAGUGAUGAAGGCCUUAGGGUUGUAAAGCUCUUUUGUCCGGGAAGAUAAUGACUGUACCGGAAGAAUAAGCCCCGGCUAACUUCGUG